rnacentral:lncRNA from 1 species
UUUUUUUUUCCAAAACAAGUUGUUGUCUUUGGACCUCCGAAGAUAACGAAUGCUUUCCGGCCGUGUUUAAAUGUCAGUAUGAACACACGGGCUCCUAACAUGUUACACAGAGAGAAGUUAUGAAUCAGAACCAUGUGCGAGCACAUGAGGCUGUCUCCACUUCAUUGAACACAUAUCCUGAUGAGGUUGAAAGAAAAAAAAGACUCGAAUCUCUUCAAGCAAGCUCAGUACACGACUAUUUUGAGAAAUCGGUUUAACUAGUACUAAAUUAAGCUCAAAUUCAUAGCUCAAA